AUUAAUUUUUUUUUUUAUUUAUAUUUAAUAAAAAUAAUUUUAAAUUUUAAAUUUUUUGUAUAUUUUAAAGAUAAAAUAAUUUUAAUUAUAGUUUAAUAGUAUUGUAAAAGAAUAUUGAAAUAAUUUUAAAAAUAAUUAUUGAAAAAGAAAAUUUAAUUUAUUGUACCUUGUGUAUCAGUGUUUAUUAAAUAAAAAAUUUUUAUAAAAUUUUUCUCGAAUUUAAAAGAUCUAAUUAAUUAUUUUAGUUAAUGUGGCAUAAUUAUUAAUAAUAAUUAAUUAGAAAUGAAAUGUUAUACGUUUUUAAAUAUAUCUAGUUUUUUAAGAAAUAAAUUUAAUUUAGAUAUUAUUAAUGUAUUAUUUUAAUUUAAUUAAGAUAAUAUUUAUUAAUAUUAAUAUUUUAAGGGAUAAGCUUUAAAAUAAAUUAUUAUAAAAAAUAAAAUUAUUAAAAUAAUUGUAAGCUUAGAAAUAGUUAUCAAUAAAUAUUAUGUUAUAAUUAAUUUAUAUAUUUUAUAUAAUUUAUUAUUUUUUUUAAGUUUUUAUUAAAAUAUUUAUUUUAAUAUAAAAAAUUAAGUAAUAAUGAUAAAAUUAGUAUAAAAUUAAUUUAAAAAUAAAAAUUUUUGAAAGGUUUUUAUAAUUAAUUCGGCAAAAUAAAUAUUCGCCUGUUUAUCAAAAACAUGUCUUUUUGAAUUUAAUUUAAAGUCUAGCCUGCCCACUGAAUGAAUAUUUAAAGGGCCGCGGUAUUUUGACUGUGCAAAGGUAGCAUAAUCAUUAGUUUUUUAAUUGAAAGCUUGUAUGAAAGGUUGGACGAAAUAUUUUCUGUCUCAUAAAAAUUUAUAUUAGAAAUUAAUUUUUUUGUUAAAAAGCAAAAAUAAAAUUAGAGGACGAGAAGACCCUAUAGAGCUUUAUAUUUUUAUUAUUUAAUUUUUAUAGAUAAUUUUGAAUUUUAUAAAAAAAAGUAUUUUGUUGGGGUGACAAUAAGAUUUAAUUAACUUUUAUUAUUUUAUUACAUUGAUUUAUGAAUAUUUGAUCCAUUAUUAAUGAUUAAAAAAUUAAGUUACCUUAGGGAUAACAGCGUAAUUUUUUUUAAGAGUUCAUAUCGACAAAAAAGAUUGCGACCUCGAUGUUGAAUUAAGAAUUAUUUUUAGGUGUAGAAGUUUAAAGUUUAGGUCUGUUCGACCUUUGAAUUCUUACAUGAUUUGAGUUCAGACCGGUGUAAGCCAGGUUGGUUUCUAUCCUUAAUAAAUUAAAAUAUUUUAGUACGAAAGGACCAAAUAUUUAAAAUAUUAAUUUUUUAAUUAAAGAAUAAUAUUA
rnacentral:rRNA from 1 species